rnacentral:rRNA from 1 species
UACGGAGGGUGCAAGCGUUAUCCGGAUUCACUGGGUUUAAAGGGUGCGUAGGCGGGUAGGUAAGUCAGAGGUGAAAUCCUAGAGCUUAACUCUAGAACUGCCUUUGAUACUAUCUAUCUUGAAUAUUGUGGAGGUAAGCGGAAUAUGUCAUGUAGCGGUGAAAUGCUUAGAUAUGACAUAGAACACCUAUUGCGAAGGCAGCUUACUACGCAUAUAUUGACGCUGAGGCACGAAAGCGUGGGGAGUCAAACAGG